AAUAAAGUGCCUGAUAAAAGGGUUACUUUGAUAGAGUAAAUCAUGUAAGAAAACCUUACCUUUAUUA
rnacentral:tRNA from 1 species